UACGUAGGGGGCAAGCGUUGUCCGGAAUCAUUGGGCGUAAAGCGCGUGUAGGCGGUUCGGUAAGUCUGCUGUGAAAGUCCAGGGCUCAACCCUGGGAUGCCGGUGGAUACUGUCGGACUAGAGUACGGAAGAGGCGAGUGGAAUUCCCGGUGUAGCGGUGAAAUGCGCAGAUAUCGGGAGGAACACCAAUUGCGAAGGCAGCUCGCUGGGACGUCACUGACGCUGAGACGCGAAAGCGCGGGGAGCAAACAGG
rnacentral:rRNA from 1 species